AGUGAACGCUGGCGGUAGGCCUAACACAUGCAAGUCGAACGGCAGCACAGUAAGAGCUUGCUCUUACGGGUGGCGAGUGGCGGACGGGUGAGGAAUACAUCGGAAUCUACUUUUUCGUGGGUGAUAACGUAGGGAAACUUACGCUAAUACCGCAUACGACCUACGGGUGAAAGCAGGGGAUCUUCGUACCUUGCGCGAUUGAAUGAGCCGAUGUCGGAUUAGCUAGUUGGCGGGGUAAAGGCCCACCAAGGCGACGAUCCGUAGCUGGUCUGAGAGGAUGAUCAGCCACACUGGAACUGAGACACGGUCCAGACUCCAACGGGAGGCAGCAGUGGGGAAGCUUGGACAAUGGGCGGAAGCCUGAUCCAGCCACACCGCGUGGGUGAAGAAGGCCUUCGGGUUGUAAAGCCCUGUUAUUGGGAAAGAAAAGCAGCAGAUUAAUACCCCGAUGUUCUGACGGUACCCAAAGAAUAAGCACCGGCUAACUACGUG
rnacentral:rRNA from 1 species